GAUGAACGCUGGCAGAAUGCUUAACACAUGCAAGUCGACCGGAAUUUGGGUGUUUGAUUUAGGGUUGGGUGGCGGACGGGUGAGUAACGCGUAAAUAACUUGCCUCACAGCUAGGGACAACAUUUGGAAACGAGUGCUAAUACCUAAUAUGAUUAUCAUAGGCCAUCCGAGAGUUAUGAAAGCUAUAAGCGCUGUGAGAGAGCUGUGCGUCACAUUAUCUAGUUGGAGAGGUAGCGGCUCACCAAGGCGAUGGUGGGUAGCCGCCCUGAGAGGGUGAGCGGCAAAAAGGGACCGGGGAAACGGCCAUUACUCCACCGGGGGGAAGAAGUGGGAAUUAUUGGCAAUUGGACCGAGCGUCUGAUACAGAAGUUCUGUGUGCAAGAUGAAGUUUUUCGGAAUGAAAAGUGCUUUCAGUUGGGGAGACAAAAAUGACGGUACCAACAGAAGAAGCGGCGGCUAACUACGUG
rnacentral:rRNA from 1 species